rnacentral:sRNA from 1 species
GCUGGGUAUGGUGAUGCUAGCCUGUAAUCCCAGCAGUUAGGGAGGCUGAGGCAGGAGGAUCUGGAGUUCAAAGCCAGCCUCAACAAAAUGCGAGGCGCUAAGCAACUCAGUGAAACCCUGUCUCUA